rnacentral:lncRNA from 1 species
GGGGGGGCGUGCACGGAGCAUGCGCAGAGCAGGGGUUGCGUGCAAAGCGUGCACCGGGGGCGUGCACCGAGCAAGGUUUGCAAGCACAGUGUGCACCAGGAGUGUGCAUGGAGCAAGGUUUGCAUGCACAAUGUGCACUGGGAGCAUGCACCAAGCAAGGUUUGCACGCAAAUUGUGCACCAGGGGCAUGCACUGAGCAGGGUUUGCAUGCAGAACAUGCACCAGGAGCGGGCCCAGAUCGCAGUUUGCAAGCACAGUGUGCACUGUGAGGGUGCACGGAGCAGGGUCUGUGGGCACAGUGCACCCUGUGAGCACGCAUGGAGCAUGUUUGUGUGCAAAUUGUGCACCGGGAGCGUGCACGGAGCAAGUUUUGCGCCCAGCACAUGCACCAAGAGCAUGCACAGAGCAAGGUCUGCACACAGAACGUGCACCAGGAGCAUGCACCGAGCACAGUUUCCAAGCACAGUGUGCACCGGGAGCGUGCACGGAGCAAGGUUUGCAAGCACAGUGCGCACUGAGCGUGCACGGGGCACCUUUGCUUGCAAAUCGUGCACCAAGGGCAUGCACGGAACAGUUUUGCACCCAGAACAUGCACCAAGAGCGUGCGCAGAGCAAGGUUUGCAUGCAGAACGUGCACCAGGGGCAUGCACAGGGCACAGUUUGCAAGCGCAGUGUGCACUGGGAGCAUGCACCAAGCAAGGUUUGCAUGCAAAUCAUGCACCAGGAGCAUGCACGGAGCAGUUUGGCACCCAGAAUAUGCACCGAGAGCAUGCACCGAGCACAGUUUCCAAGCGCAGUGUGCACUGGGAGCAUGCACGGAGCAAGGUUUGCGUGCACAAUGUGCACUGGGAGCAUGCACCAAGCAAGCUUUGCACGCAAGUCGUGCACCGGGAGCGUGCACCGAGCAGUUUUGCACCCAGAACGUGCACCAAGAGCGUGCACGGAGCAAGGUUUGCACGCAAAUCGUGCACCGGGAGUGUGCACCGAGCAGUUUUGCACCCAGAACGUGCACCAAGAGCCUGCACGGAGCAAGGUUUGCACGCACAGAGCACAGUUUGCAACUUUGCACGCACCACGCGUGCCAUGAGCGUGCACGGAGCGCGCUUGCACGCGCCGCACACACGCACGUGGCACUUUUGCACGCACGAGGAGCUUUGCACGUCCCCGUGCACGCGGCACCCGAGGGC